GAUGGACGCAGACAACGAUAUAUUUCUGACGCAGUCAGUUUUUAAAGAAUCGGCAUCCUGUGCUGAAGAAGACAAGGAAAGUGAUGACUUUAAAUUCCGUUUAGGAGAUCCACUCUCCGAGCGUGAAAUAACCUUACAAGUUACCGUCAAAAGACUGUGCAAGACGUCCGGUAUUGAGGGCAUGAAGAUAAACCAUUCCUUGAGAGCCACGGCAGCCACUCGAUUGUAACAAGGUGACGUUGAUGAACAAAUGAUUUGCGAAAUUACCGGACAUCUGAGCGACGCCGUUCGAAAUUACAAGAGAACUUCUGACAACCAAAAGGCAACGGUCUCCGACAUACUUAGUAUUUUGAAAAAAAUGAACUCGCCAUCACGUGAAGAAGCUGAUCCAAAAAGAGCAGAUGACCAAUGACCUGAAGACAAACUAAAUCGAACUGUGACGCUCAAUUUCAAUUUCAUCUAAUAUCAAUAAAUAGUUGAGCCAUGUUCUGUUGUUGUUUUUUUCAUGCAGAAAGGUAAUUCAAUACAGAGGGUAUUUUUCGGGAC